rnacentral:snoRNA from 1 species
GUUCCAUUUUAAGGUUGUUUCAGUGCUUUUAGAGGCUAAUACGGAAGGAUAGAAUAAGUCUCCAUAAAACCCAGAGAAAAGAUUGUAAAACUCCUCUUUGGAUCCUCUUUGGAUCCCAGAG